rnacentral:rRNA from 1 species
UGGGGAAUAUUGCACAAUGGGCGCAAGCCUGAUGCAGCCAUGCCGCGUGUGUGAAGAAGGCCUUCGGGUUGUAAAGCACUUUCAGCGAGGAGGAAGGCGUUAAGGUUAAUAACCUUGGCGAUUGACGUUACUCGCAGAAGAAGCACCGGCUAACUCCGUGCCAGCAGCCGCGGUAAUACGGAGGGUGCAAGCGUUAAUCGGAAUUACUGGGCGUAAAGCGCACGCAGGCGGUUUGUUAAGUCAGAUGUGAAAUCCCCGAGCUUAACUUGGGAACUGCAUUUGAAACUGGCAAGCUAGAGUCUUGUAGAGGGGGGUAGAAUUCCAGGUGUAGCGGUGAAAUGCGUAGAGAUCUGGAGGAAUACCGGUGGCGAAGGCGGCCCCCUGGACAAAGACUGACGCUCAGGUGCGAAAGCGUGGGGCAGCAAACAGGAUUAGAUACCCUGGUAGUCCACGCUGUAAAACGAUGUCGACUUUGGAGGUU